rfam:Botryobasidium botryosum FD-172 SS1 unplaced genomic scaffold BOTBOscaffold_36, whole genome shotgun sequence.
GGCCGCCUAGCGAAAUGGUUAUCGCGUUGGUCUUCGACUCCAUCAGUUGAACCAAAGGUUGCAGGUUCGAGUCCUGCGGUGGUCG